rnacentral:rRNA from 1 species
GAGAAAGAGAACAAGAGCGAACGGAGGAUGCCUUGGCUUCCGAAAGCGAAGAAGGACGUGGUAAGCUGCGAAAAGCUCCGGGGAUUUGCAAACAGGAAUUGAUCCGGAGAUGUCCGAAUGGGGGAACCCCUGCAGAUGAAGUCUGCAGACCAUCGUCAGAUGGGGCAAACGCAGGGAACUGAAACAUCUUAGUACCUGCAGGAAAAGAAAGAAACAUCGAUUCCCAGAGUAGUGGCGAUCGAAAUGGGAAGAGCCUAAACCGUGUGCGUUACGGCGUAUGCGGGGUUGUAGGACCUCUUAUAAAGAACCAGUCAGGAACCGGAACCGUCUGGAAAGUCGGUCCGCAGAGGGUGAAAGGCCCGUACGGGUAACGAGAUUGGUUCGAGAGGGGCACCUGAGUAGGGCGGGACACGUGGAAUCCUGUCUGAAUCUGCGGCGACCAUGCCGCAAGGCUAAAUAUGAUCGGAAGACCGAUAGUG